AGAAUCAACGCUGGCGGCGUGCCUAACACAUGCAAGUCGAACGAGAAAGUGGAGCAAUCCAUGAGUAAAGUGGCGCACGGGUGAGUAACACGUGACUAACCUACCCUUGAGUGGGGGAUAACCUAGAGAAAUCUGGGCUAAUACCGCGUAAUACCUUCGGGUCAAAGGAGCAAUUCGCUUAAGGAGGGGGUCGCGGCCGAUUAGUUAGUUGGCGGGGUAAUGGCCCACCAAGACUGUGAUCGGUA
rnacentral:rRNA from 1 species